rnacentral:misc_RNA from 1 species
AUUGAAACGACAAUGGUGACAUGUUUUAAAAGAAUUAUUAACUUUGAAACCUCUGAAAAAGAUUAUCGCGCUUUAAUACAAUACAAAUUCUCAUAUACUUAAUGGACAACCUUGGAUUAUCUCAAGUUACGUAAUUUUUUAAAAACUUUGUUUGAAAACGUUAUUUUAGAUUGUAUAUCAUUAUUUUAAAAAUGUUCAUUUCAUUCAUUUUUUUUAAAAACAUACGUUACAAAUAACUGUUUCGUCUUAUUUGAAAAUCUUGUUUGAAUACGUGAUUUUAUAUUACAUAUAUCUUUUUCUUCAUUACGGUGAUACUGUAGUAUCGUUUUUCGUUGCUAUUGUAACAUUGUAACUGCGUAUACUAACGUUGCUAUUGUAGCAUCGUUAUUACUUUUUUGUUCAAAGUGUUAUUUUAUUAUGAUUGUAUUUUUAAUACUCAUGCAUUAUUAGCAUUUACUAAAAAUUACAAAAAUAUUUUUGCCGAGAAUGUAAAACACUGUUUUAAAAUAAUUUUGAGACGCAAAAUCAGAAGUUGUUUACAUAUUGUAUAAUAAACUUCAACUCUAUUUUUUUGUGAUGAAUUUUUAGUUAUUGUUGUUGUUAUUGAUGGUAAAACUAUACAUAUAUGCUAUCAUUGUUAAAGCGCUACACAGCUAUAAAUUUUACAUAUACUUUUUUUUACUUGAGACUUUUAUUACUCUUUUAUCUGUUUAUCCUGUUAUGCUUAAAAAGCAUUUGUAGACAAUAACUGAAGAUCCUCUUUAUAUGAACUGUUUCCAGUAUUUUGCUAAUUGUCUUGGAAGAAAAGGUAGAUUUUACAGAAUGAAAACUACACAAUUGAUAAAAAACAGAUCUCAUUUUUGGAUUUAAGAUCUUUAAACUAAAAUUAAUUAUUCAAAGUAUCAUUGUUACCACUACUUUAAUACAAAAAAAAAUAAUUGUGUAAAUUUGUCUGAGUUGUUAAUACUUAUAUUAUUAAUUAAAUUUUUUAUGUUUGUCUAUAAAAUUUGAUGAAAAUACAGAAAAUUAAAAAAAAAAAUGUCAAACAGUAAAAAUUACGUAUACUGUUUUCUUUUGAUUGGCUUUCUUGAAAGCAUCACAACACAGUAUCUUUACCCAGCGCAAAAAUCGUUAACGCGUUAUUCUUACACCAUUUAUAGAGGUAAAAAAGUAAAUGGAACAACAAAUGUGGUCGAAACAUACGUUGAAGAUAAAGAUUGCGUAUCGGCUUGCUAUAAUAAUAAUAAAGAAUGCAAAUCAAUUGAAGUAAAUAUUGGUGAUAAAAAUAUAUCAAAAUGUAGAUUUUUCAACAAUGAUACACCCAACACCAUUCAAGCUGACGGAUUCAUAUAUAUUUCUACUAAACUGCCAAACUGUUCUCUCAGUUGCAAUUUGACACCAAACCCUUGUGGGAAAUGUAAAUGCUACCCAUCAUGUGCAGGAAGAAAUCGACGAGAGUAUGUAUGCAAUUGUACAUUAGCUGCAGGACCAGCAAAUAGUUGUCAAGAACAUUACGAUAACGGUUUCACAAUAACUGGAAUUUUUCAAAUUAGUCUUAAUGGCGCAAAAUUUAAGACUGUAUGUGAAAUGAAAAAAUUUGAGUUUCAAAAUCCGGAAGGUAUUGUUGUUAGAUAUAUCAAUGAGCGUGUGUUGAUAAAAAAUAACUUGGUUGCAACCUUUCCAUUGUUGAAAACAACAUAUUCCGUUUCUUUUUUGUUUAAGCCAAGUUUUCUUCCUACUGUAGACACAAAUAUUGUUCAUUUGACUAAUAAAAAUAGUUUUUCAAAUUAUGGGGAAAGAAUCCCUGGUGUUUGGUUUUUUACAUCAGGAAUUAUAUUUGUUUCUUCUGCAGUCAAUGGAGAUGGUGAUUACAAAUUUAUGACUAAUCCAAUACCAUUAAAUGUGUGGUCAAGUAUACAAGUAUCCCAAACUGAAACUAAUGGAAUUUAUUUAUACUCAAUAUAUUUAAAUGGAACAAAUAUUUUUAAGAUUGUAAACUCAAAGACACAAGUAUUUACAAAUGUCUUCGUUUACAAUGGAGACCCAGAGUAUGGUUUGGAUUUAUCGUGUGGAUUUAUUAAAGAUUUCAUUGUAAUUAAUGGAAACGAAUACCCAUGGUACAAUCCACAAAUUGGUUUCAUUAAUAUUGUUAAAAAUAUAAGUAAAACUAAUGGAGUGUGGAUUCCAAUGAUGACUCGUUUUGCCGAUUGGGAAUUAAGUUUUUGGAAUAGAAGUUUUGAAGAUUAUGAAAAUGGCUUUGGUCUGGUAAAUCAACAAUGGAUUGGUUUAAAAAAAAUUAAUCAAAUUACAAGCACUUUUUUUACAGACAUGAGGGUCGAUUAUUUUCUCAGAAAAGAUUUAGCGUUUACUACAAUGUACUAUAAUGUCCUUGUUGAUUCAAGUGAUACCAACUACAUGUUUAGCUAUGAAAAGUAUGAUCCAAGAGAUUAGACCACAUCAACAACUGGAACUGCAACAGCAGUUUCUUCAACAACUGCUGCUGCAGUUAAUGAUUUGUCAUACCAAGCUUUCCUCGAACAUACAAGUCGGCACAAUGGACCCACACCCUACAGAGCGCAUAGGGUGUGGGUCCGAAACGGCGGCUAAUACUAACCCUACCCCUACUUCCAUUGGGGUAAUGGUGGUCGCCGUAAUAGAAGAAGGGGAG